UACGGAGGGUGCAAGCGUUAUCCGGAUUCACUGGGUUUAAAGGGUGCGUAGGAGGGCAGGUAAGUCAGUGGUGAAAUCUCCGAGCUUAACUUGGAAACUGCCGUUGAUACUAUCUGUCUUGAAUACCGUGGAGAUGAGCGGAAUAUGUCAUGUAGCGGUGAAAUGCUUAGAUAUGACAUAGAACACCAAUUGCGAAGGCAGCUCGCUACACGAAUAUUGACUCUGAGGCACGAAAGCGUGGGGAUCAAACAGG
rnacentral:rRNA from 1 species